AGGGGUAUAACUCAGUUAGCAGAGUGCUUGCCUCACAGGCACAAGGCCCUGGGUUCAAUUCCCAGCACCACAC
rnacentral:tRNA from 1 species